GCCUUGGUUGUUUCAUUUGUAAGGUGGGGAUUAUAGCUGUAACUUCUUUAUAGGGUUGGGGUUUUUUUGGUACUAGGUAUUGAACUUGGGACCCUGUGCUUUCGAGGCAGGCAGUGGAACCACUGAGCUAAAUCCCCGGCCCGUUAUAGGGUUGUUUUGAAGAUGAAGUGAGUUAUAGAUGUAAAGCCUAUAGUAACACACAGUAAACACUCAAUAAAAAGCUUUAUUAACUUAAAUUCAUUUUUUUCAUAGCCCUUGUAAAGUCCUUACCACUCUUUGGGAGUGAAGCAUUUUCUUUUUCUUUUUUUUCUUUUUUUUUUCAGUGAAGCAUUUUCAAAAAGUACUUAGUAGCCCAGAUCCAGGGUUCUUUGUGUUUCAUUCCAGAGGUUCCUGAGUGUGAACCACGUGGACAUUGCAUUAUUAAUGUCUUGUGCUCCCUGACUGCAGGCAAACUCUUGUCCCUUGUCAGCUCAGCCUGUGUACCAGGCUUGCUGUACUUAGUGAAUCUCAGAGUGCAGUAAGAGGAACUGAAAGUGGCAGAAAGUGAAAGCAAAAUAAAAUUUAGCUAGGAAUCACUGAGCUGCUUUUCCCCUUGCCGUGUAUGAAAGAAGAAAAUGAAGAAGAGGAAGGGGAAACGAAAGGGGAAGAAGAGGAAGAGGAAGAAGCAGCCCUCUGCUCAGCCUCAUUGUUCCACCCUUACAACCAUUGUCAAGGUGCCCAGACGGGGAAGCCAUAGCAGUGGACACACAAGGUUGUCCAGUCUGGGGUAUUCUGGUAUGGCAACCGGAAACAGACUGAAGCACUGAGUGGCUGACCUCGCAUCAUCAAGCCUUUCCCAGAUUUAAAAUUUAUUAAGGAACAAAAGGUUAAUGCAAAUUAAAAGCCUAAAUAACAACAGAAGGCUGUAUAUUAUUACAUGUGCAAAGAACAGGACAGUUAAUCAGUACAAUGGGAGUUCAGAAGAGGCAAAGAACUUGGGUCAUUGUGUUCAGAGAAAAUAUUUAUGAAAGAAGUGUAUGUGAAUUGGGAUAUUAAGUGUGAGGGUUUUCUAUGGGCAGAGGGGGAUUGGAAUGCUUUCAAAAAUAGGUGAACAGGAGAAAUGAACAAGAAAACAAAGAUGGGUAUAGUAAACAAACUAACAUGACUAAAAGGAAUACUAGGAGAAAUUGGUUUAAAAACGCAAAUUAAAUCUGGAUUGUGUUUGAACUGAGUUAAAAUAGUUAUAAAAAGCAGCAGUCCUUAGAAGGUUUUUGUAUGGCAAAAGCAAUAUUUUAGAAGAAUAAUAUAGCUGAAUACAGGAUGGUUUGCAGGGAAGCACACAGAAGCAAGUAAUCAGAAUCUUCAAAAUCUUGGUUAUAAAAAUCUUGUGCUUGUUUUGGAAUUAUUCAGAACCUUUUAGUUGCAUGUGAAAGAAAUGCAACUUGAACUAGUUUAAGAAAAAGGGAAUUCCUUGGUUUAUGUAAGAGGGAAUUCUGAGCUCCAUCUGUCCUAGGCAUAGUUGGAUCCAGGAGCAAAAACUGAUACAGUUUGUAA